rnacentral:lncRNA from 10 species
GGAUUCCCGGGAUGCAGGCAGCUUGGGGCCCUAGGGGAAAGAGCCUGGGGCUCUUCAAGGCUGGGCUAUGAAGCCACCCUCCUCCCAGGGUUGAGGGGCAGUCAAAAUAUCCCCAAACCUAAUGUGAUUUCUCACCUGCCAAGUGGCAGCAGUGUGGCAUCGGGGCAUAAAAGCUGCUAACAGUGGGGAAAGGCCUGGCCCAGUGCCAAGCAGGCUGUGGGCGUCCCUAGAAGAAUGAGCAGCGCAACUACAGCAGGAGUCCCAGGCCCUGGGCAGAGAGACACCCCUUUAUCGAGACCUACUACCUGCCAGGCACUUUAUUUAUUGGUAAAUUUAAUCAGAUUUUGAAAACCACAAAAUCUGGAUACAUUUGCAUUGUGGUAUUUGUUGUAAUUGUUGGAUAUAAUUACAUAUACAUGCUAUAAAAUAUAAGAUAGAACUAGAACAAGAGUUCUUAAUCUGGCAUCUAAGGGAACCCGAAAGAUCAAAGGAUAGAGUUCAAGGAGUCUAAAAAUUUGGAAGAGAAAAAAUAUAUAUCUUUAUUUUCACUAAUUUCUACCUGAAUUUUAGCAUUCUCUUCAACGAUGAAUGUAGGCAACAAACCACAGCAGUAUUAGCAGGACUCGUGAUGAUGUCACUAGCAAUUACAAAUAUUUUCAAAUCAUAUAUGUGAAACGAAGCUAUUUUUAUGUAGUACAACUGCGAUUAUGACAGGGCCUCUUCCUGAAGGGGAAGGGUGGGGAGGAGACCUGAGUCAUCAGUGGGGCGGCCGGCCCCACAGGCUGACACAGGCAGCUUGUGGAAACCAGGCCCCCCGCCCUGCCUUCCGCAGGUAGAGGCCCCAGAGAGGGGAAGGGGCCGACCACCUGCUCCCGAGCCAUUCUCGGGCUCGGCCAGCCAUUGGGCUGGGAACCUGUCAAUCCUGGUUGAUCUUCCAAUGAGCUGUGAACUGGUCUUCCGGGAGGACUUACAGGAGGCUGGAAACGGGGCCUGGCGCGCGCUUCCCUCUCAGUGCGAGGCUGACUGGUUGGACUCGCCGGGCUCUACUGUGGGCCCCACGCUAUGUUUAGACGCCCGACGUGUCCCAUUUUAUUGAACUCGUCCUGCCCCCCAAGUAGGGACGAUUUACCUCCAUUUUCUAGAUAAGGCACUGGGGGCUCCGCGAGGGGAUGUGGCGGACUGGAGCCCAGCUGCACUCCUGACGGGACUGAAUGCGGGGCUGAGGGAGGCAACAGGAAG